rnacentral:rRNA from 1 species
CACGUAGGCACCAAGCGUUGUCCGGAUUUAUUGGGCGUAAAGAGCUCGUAGGCGGUUCGGUAAGUCGGGUGUGAAAACUUUGGGCUCAACCCAAAGCCUGCACUCGAUACUGCUGUGACUUGAGUCCGGUAGGGGAGUGGGGAAUUCCUGGUGUAGCGGUGGAAUGCGCAGAUAUCAGGAGGAACACCGGUGGCGAAGGCGCCACUCUGGGCCGGUACUGACGCUGAGGAGCGAAAGCGUGGGGAGCAAACAGG